CCUACGGGAGGCAGCAGUGAGGAAUAUUGGUCAAUGGACGAGAGUCUGAACCAGCCAAGUAGCGUGAAGGAUGACUGCCCUCUGGGUUGUAAACUUCUUUUAUAAAGGAAUAAAACGAGGCACGUGUGCCUUUUUGCAUGUACUUUAUGAAUAAGGAUCGGCUAACUCCGUGCUAGCAGCCGCGGUAAUACGGAGGAUCCGAGCGUUAUCCGGAUUUAUUGGGUUUAAAGUGAGCGUAGAUUGGUUGUUAAGUCAGUUGUGAAAGUUUGCGGCUCAAACGUAAAAUUGCAAUUGAUACUGGCAGUCUUGAGUACAGUUGAGGUAAGCGGAAUUCGUGGUGUAGCGGUGAAAUGCUUAGAUAUCACGAAGAACACCGAGUGCGAAGGCAGUUUACUAAACUGUGACUGACAUUGAUGCUCGAAAGUGUGGGUAUCAAACAGGAUGAGAUACCCCAGUAGUC
rnacentral:rRNA from 1 species